rnacentral:ncRNA from 2 species
UGUAGCAUGUGUGGUUCCGGUCUGCAUGGAGCCUUUAAGGCUUCAACGUGAAAAGGGAAUCUGGUGCAAAUCCAGAGCUGACGCGCAGCGGUAAAUAGAACGAUGGCGACCGUAUCGGCUACGGCUGGAUACAGACACUGUUUAUUAAAUGGGAAGUCGUUGGCCAUCAAUGUUCUUAAGCCCGAAGACCUGCCGGGAUCCUGUCGCAUGG